rnacentral:rRNA from 1 species
GACGAACGCUGGAGGCGUGCUUAACACAUGCAAGUCGAACGAUGAAAUGGAGCUUGCUCCAUGGAUUAGUGGCGAACGGGUGAGUAACACGUGAAUAACCUGCCCUUAAUUUUGGAAUAACCCAGGGAAACCUGGGCUAAUACCGGAUAAGUAAACCUGUGGCAUCACAUGGUUUUGGAAAGUUUUUCGAUUAAGGAUGGAUUCGCGGCCUAUUAGCUUGUUGGUGAGGUAAUGGCUCACCAAGGCGACGACGGGUAGCCGGCCUGAGAGGGUGAACGGCAACACUGGGACUGGGACACGGCCCAGACUCCUACGGGAGGCAGCAGUGGGGAAUAUUGUGCAAUGGACGAAAGUCUGACGCAGCGACGCCUCGUGAGGGACGAAGGUCUUCGGAUUGUAAACCUCUUUCAGCAGGGACGAAGCGAAAGUGACGGUACCUGCAGAAGAAGCACCGGCUAACUAUGUGCCAGCAGCCGCCGUAA